GACGAAGGGGGCUAGCGUUGUUCGGAAUUACUGGGCGUAAAGCGAGUGUAGGUGGUUGUCCAAGUUGGAUGUGAAAGCCUUGAGCUCAACUCAAGAAAUGCAUUCAGGACUGGGCGGCUAGAGGACCGGAGAGGAUAGUGGAAUUCCCAGUGUAGUGGUGAAAUACGUAGAGAUUGGAAGAACACCAGUGGCGAAGGCGGAGCUCGUCUGGGACGGUACGUGGAACGUCUGAGACGCGAAAGCGAUGGGGAGCGUAACGG
rnacentral:rRNA from 1 species